rnacentral:rRNA from 1 species
AAGCGCUUGCAGCCAGACUUGCUUGUAGUUGCUCAGCCAGGCUCCUGCCUGGUGUACUCUUCUGCAUGCAGGCCAGCAUCAGUCCGGGCGGUUGGAUAAAGGCCUAUUAAACGUACCUCUCCUCGGGGAGGACUUAUAGGGUAGGUGCCAU